rnacentral:rRNA from 1 species
UACGGGGGGAGCAAGCGUUGUUCGGAUUUACUGGGCGUAAAGGGCGCGUAGGCGGUCAGCACAAGUCAGUUGUGAAAUCUCCGGGCUUAACUCGGAAAGGUCAACUGAUACUGUGCGACUAGAGUGCAGAAGGGGCAACUGGAAUUCUCGGUGUAGCGGUGAAAUGCGAGAUAUCGGAAAGAACACCAACGCGAAAGCACUCUGCUGGGCCGACACUGACACUGAGAGACGAAGCUAGGGGAGCGAAUGGG